GGCAGCCUGGCUCUCACCACAAUGUCUGUAAAGGAACUUCAGUGUUCUAGAUACUGAAUGAACGGCUGGACUGGAGAGAGCUGGCCUCCCACCCCGCUCGGACAUCCAGGUCUUACGCCAAUAUUACACCUGUGUUUACAGUUUCCAAGAGUCCCUUCCCCCAGCUGCCUCUGACAGGCUCUGCACCUUGACCGGGGUGUUUCCUCAAGACGUUAGAGCCCGGGUCACCACCUUGAGCCUGCCUGGGUGGGGGCAAUGUGGUGAAAGACCCUGGAAGAACACCGGUGGUCUCUCUCUUGCCCCUCCUGCUCUCCAGAGAGGCGGAAGAACACAAUGAUAAGC